rnacentral:lncRNA from 1 species
AGUUUUUUAUUUGCGAAGUGCAAAAAGAGUGUAGCCAUAGCUUAUUUCCAAAUACGCCAUUUUUUUCCCGAUUAUCAUUUGUCUCCAAAAAUGCAUUUCUUUCCUACAGGUGGAACUCUAGCAAAGACCUGCCAUGUCAGGACGAAGUUCGUUCUUUCUU